GUGGACCUACGGGACGCAGCAGUGAGGAAUAUUGGUCAAUGGGCGGAAGCCUGAACCAGCCAAGUCGCGUGAGGGAAUAAGGCCCUACGGGUCGUAAACCUCUUUUGCCGGGGAGCAAGGGCGGGGACGUGUCCCGGCCCGGAGAGUACCCGGAGAAAAAGCAUCGGCUAACUCCGUGCCAGCAGCCGCGGUAAUACGGAGGAUGCGAGCGUUAUCCGGAUUUAUUGGGUUUAAAGGGUGCGUAGGCGGGCUUUUAAGUCAGCUGGAAAAAUUCGGGGCUCAACCCCGUCCGGUCGUUGAAACUG
rnacentral:rRNA from 1 species